CUAGCUGAAAUAACUGCAACUAAAUCUAGACAGUGUAAGAUCAUGUGACGAGGACAUAUAUCUACAUUUUACAAAGCAAAUAACAAUAAUACAAUGAAUUUGAGAAGUUGGAGACAAACAACACAUACUUUUUAUCACUUGGUCUAUAUGGUUUCAAUUGAUUAUCCCCACAUAUACGUAUAGGAUUGCGAGAAAAUUUCCAAGCAUACAACUAUUCAGUGUGUGUCUGCUCAGAUGUAUACCCGCCUUCUAUCAUUUGUGCUUUGUUGUACUGGCCAUACAGAUCAAUUAACUAAUCCUACAAAUUUUGAAUAAUCAUAUGUUGUAAAAUUCAAUUUGGUAUGAGGGCUCAAUGUUUCAAUUAUGAAUAAUCAUAUCUUCGAAUAAGAGGAUUAUAGAGUUUAAAUAAUCAAUUUGUUAUUAUAGUAAUUGAUAAACAAAGAAAAGCCUCAGUGUUACUAACAAAGCCAACAAGCCCUUAGAUAUUUUGGUUGAACCAAAACCCCCCGGGGAAAUGGUCAUCUUGAGAUUGGCAUGAUGUCCACAAAGCUCUUCACUACUUUGCUUUCCUUAAU
rnacentral:lncRNA from 1 species